rnacentral:rRNA from 1 species
AUUGAACGCUGGCGGCAGGCCUAACACAUGCAAGUCGAACGAGUGGCGGACGGGUGAGUAAUGUCUGGGAAACUGCCUGAUGGAGGGGGAUAACUACUGGAAACGGUAGCUAAUACCGCAUACCAUCGGAUGUGCCCAGAUGGGAUUAGCUAGUAGGUGGGGUAACGGCUCACCUAGGCGACGAUCCCUAGCUGGUCUGAGAGGAUGACCCGCCACACUUGAACCGAGGAACGGUCCAGACUCCCACGGGAGGCCGCCGUGGGGAAUUUUGCACAAUGGGCGCAAGCCUGAUUCAGCCAUGCCGCGUGUAUGAAGAAGGCCUUCGGGUUGUAAAGUACUUUCCGCGGGGAGGCGUUACCCGCAGAAGAAGCACCGGCUAACUCUGUGCCAGCCGCCGCGGUAAUAC